rnacentral:lncRNA from 10 species
UGGGCAAGUUAGUUGCUCCAAAAACAAGAUAAAAUGAUUGAGUUCUUUUCUCAAGCGGGAGUCGGAGUUUAUCUGCUCUGAGGGUCAUCCAACUAAAAAAUAUAUAUAUCUUGAGGAUUUGCAUUGAUAUUCAAUAUCGACAUAUCCAAGGCCUCCCUCCAGACCACUAGAUUCUAGUAAUUUGAACCGGCUUCUCCUCUCCCUCAAAGCAGCUCUGCUUAGUACAGUGCUUGGCACAAAGCAAAUAUUCAAUAAAUGUUAGCCAACGUUAGCUGCUCAUCUGCUUUCCUUAAAAGCCAAGUCAUUUCAACAAACCACCCCUGAGGCCCCAAGACACAGAAGAACAGCAUCCAGUCCAAGCCUUCUGGUGCAGAGCCCCAGCAGCUACUAUUAAUGAGUGUCUGGAAUAUGUUCCUGGCAUUUCACCUACCCUCUCUCCAAUCCUUCCAAGAAACUCACAAAGCAGGGCUUUUUCUUGAACUUCUCUUCCUCACAACAGUUAAAUCAUCCAUUUAAAGAUGUCAAACAACCUCCGUGUUCUAAGAACUAUUUACUGAGCUCUACGGAGACACAGCUACAAGCACCACAUGCUGGACCCCUGAAUAUGGAGGGCCAACUACACUAGAAACACACACGCUAGCUGAGAAAGAUGGUG